AGGCUUGCCUCGGCAGCAUGGGCACUAAAACUGGAAAGAUGCAGAGAAGAUUAGCACGGCCCCUGCGCAAGGAUGAUCCGCAAAUUUGUGAAGCAUUCCAUAAUUUA
ensembl:snRNA U6 U6 spliceosomal RNA